GAGUGGCGGACGGGUGAGUAAUGUCUGGGAAACUGCCCGAUGGAGGGGGAUAACUACUGGAAACGGUAGCUAAUACCGCAUAACGUCGCAAGACCAAAGAGGGGGACCUUCGGGCCUCUUGCCAUCGGAUGUGCCCAGAUGGGAUUAGCUAGUAGGUGGGGUAACGGCUCACCUAGGCGACGAUCCCUAGCUGGUCUGAGAGGAUGACCAGCCACACUGGAACUGAGACACGGUCCAGACUCCUACGGGAGGCAGCAGUGGGGAAUAUUGCACAAUGGGCGCAAGCCUGAUGCAGCCAUGCCGCGUGUAUGAAGAAGGCCUUCGGGUUGUAAAGUACUUUCAGCGGGGAGGAAGGGAGUAAAGUUAAUACCUUUGCUCAUUGACGUUACCCGCAGAAGAAGCACCGGCUAACUCCGUGCCAGCAGCCGCGGUAAUACGGAGGGUGCAAGCGUUAAUCGGAAUUACUGGGCGUAAAGCGCACGCAGGCGGUCUGUUAAGUCA
rnacentral:rRNA from 1 species